UAAUCCGACCUAGGCUCAUCCAUCGACGCGAGGUCUUGCGACCCCCGCUUUCCCCCGUAGGGCGUAUGCGGUAUUAGCCAAUCUUUCGACUGGUUAUUCCCCAUCAUUGGGCAGAUUCCUACGUAUUACUCACCCGUCCGCCGCUCGCCACCAGGUACAAGUACCCGUGCUGCCGCUCGACUUGCAUGUGUUAGGCCUGCCGCCAGCGUUCAAUCUGAGCCAGGAUCAAACUCU
rnacentral:rRNA from 1 species